UGAGGAAUAUUGGUCAAUGGACGCAAGUCUGAACCAGCCACGUCGCGUGAAGGAAGACGGCCCUACGGGUUGUAAACUUCUUUUGUAAGGGAAUAAAGUGAGUCACGCGUGACUUUUUGCAUGUACCUUACGAAUAAGGAUCGGCUAACUCCGUGCCAGCAGCCGCGGUAAUACGGAGGAUCCGAGCGUUAUCCGGAUUUAUUGGGUUUAAAGGGUGCGCAGGCGGGAGAUUAAGUCGGCGGUGAAAUUUUGCAGCUCAACUGUAAAAGUGCCUUCGAAACUGGUUUUCUUGAGUAUGGAUGAAGUAGGCGGAAUUUGUGGUGUAGCGGUGAAAUGCAUAGAUAUCACGAGGAACUCCGAUUGCGCAGGCAGCUUACUAAGCCAUAACUGACGCUCAUGCACGAAGGCGUGGGGAUCAAACAGG
rnacentral:rRNA from 1 species